rnacentral:SRP_RNA from 1 species
GCUGGGCGUGGUGGCUCACGCCUGUAAUCCCAACACUUUGGGAGGCCGAGGUGGGUGGAUCACCUGAGGUCAGGAGUUCGAGACCAGCCUGGCCAACAUGGUGAAACCCCAUCUCUA